GCCCGAUUAGCUCAGCUGGUUAGAGCGUCGUACUAAUAUCUUCCCUCUUCGGAAAUAUCAAGUUCCAUGCGAAGGUCAACAGUUCAAUCCUGUUAUUGGGCA